CAGUAUUUAGUUUAAAUUAAAAUUUUAAUUUUGGAUAUUAAAGAUGUAUACAUUAUUGUACUGA
rnacentral:tRNA from 3 species